CUACGGGUGGCUCCAGUGAGGAAUAUUGCACAAUGGGGGGAACCCUGAUGCAGCAACGCCGCGUGGAGGAUGACGCAUUUCGGUGUGUAAACUCCUUUUAUAUGUCAAGAAAAUGACGGUAGCAUAUGAAUAAGCACCGGCUAACUCCGUGCCAGCAGCCGCGGUAAUACGGAGGGUGCAAGCGUUACUCGGAAUCACUGGGCGUAAAGGACGCGUAGGCGGGUUGGAAAGUCAGGUGUGAAAUCCUACAGCUUAACUGAAGAACUGCACUUGAAACUUCUAAUCUAGAGUAUGGGAGGGGGAGAUGGAAUUAGUGGUUUAGGGGUAAAAUCCGUAGAUAUCACUAGGAAUACCUAAAGCGAAGGCGAUCUCCUGGAACAUUACUGACGCUAAGGCGUGAAAGCGUGGGGAGCAAACAGGAUUAGAUACCCCUGUAGUC
rnacentral:rRNA from 1 species